rnacentral:ncRNA from 1 species
GUGGUGCACGUCCGUUCUUAGUUGGUGGAGCGAUUUGUUUGGUUAAUUCCGAUAACGAAAGAGACUCUAGCCUAUUAAAUAGGUGCGUGGUUCUCUGCACCUUGCACGCUUCUUCGAAGGACAAGCAGUUCCUAGCCGCACGAAGCAUAGCAAUAACAGGUCUGUGAUUUCCUUAGAUGUCCGCGGCCGCACGUGCGCUACACUGAUGGAAGCAGCGUGUUUUUAUCCUUGUCUGUUAAGACAAUAAGCUUAGAAAAAAAGUGACUUGAGCAAAUACAGAGGGCUCAUUGAAGUCCAUCGGAUCACCCUCGAGCAGG